AAAUUAUACAGUCGAGUUUCCCACAUUUGGGGGAAUUGCAGUGGUCACCACAUCCGGAGUGCAAUGGAUAAGCCUCGCCCUGGGAAAACCACCUUCGUGAUCAUGGUAUCUCCCCUGCCAGGUGUACUUUUCAGUCACAAGAGGAAUGAAAAAGAGGAGAGGUGAUGUGAUUUAAUGAAAAGGCCAUUGAACAAGCUGCAAAGACUCUCAAAUGAGAUCAUGUGAAAUUUCGCCUUUGGAAAAAAGGAAAUGUUCCCCAGCAACUGCAUUAUUAAAACAGGACGGGUUUCAAAAGAGUUGUCUGAAACCAUGGCAAACUUUGAUUCAAUCUCAGUGGAAUAACUGCAAGAUACAAACUACUAUCAUUUGGAAGACAUUGUCAAUUUUUUUAAAAGAAAAGAUAAAAUUCAUCCAUUUCUCACUCUUCUAUUUAUACUACCUAAACACUAUGUAAUGCCAACCAACUGUAAAUUCAAUGCGUUAUGACUGUCAAAGACAUAUUAUAAAGUAGAGGAUAAAUAUGUAGCUAGAUUGCUUGAAUAUACAAGAUCACUUUGUCCAAAAACAUUUUUUCAAUCCAUUGUAAUUCAAGCAUUUCAUUUUGGUAAAUUGGAAUGGUCACAUUCGGAACCAAAGAUGAGUUAUAAAUUAAUCAAUAGACAUUUUUGUAAUAUCCAAAUGUAAAGUAUUUACAAAUCCAUUUUCAGGUUAGGACAUACCUGAGAACUGAAAGAUAUAUAGAAAUACAAGAAAUGCAAAUAAACCUAUCUCUCAACUCCUAUUCCUAGCAAGUUCUCUGUUUUAUUCAGUUACACCUUGAGAUACAUUUUAUGUUUAGUUAAUUUAAAGAUCAGAGUUUGUCAGAUAGAAAAAACAUAUAUAACAUACACCAGAGCAAGGAUCUUUUAUACUGUUUAGUUAAAAAUAAAUCCAAGUACCUAGAAGAGUGCUUGGCACAGAGUACACAAGUGAAAAAAGAAAAACCAACAACAACAACAAAAACAACGAGAUAGAUAGCCAGAUAUAUGGAGGACGAUGGGAGUAGGGGAAGAGAGAAAAGGGAUUGAUUGAUUAAUUGAUUGACUGACUUGGGGCAUUAAAAUUUGAAAGCUUGUUUCUGAUUCUGACUUCUCCAUUUACUGAUUUACUGAUGAGGUGAUCUUUGGCAACAAAUUAAAAAGUCUGCAUUUCCUUAGCAGCAUAAUAUCAAUUACUUUACCACAGACCAAUUGUUACAAAUGAAUGAUAUUAUGUCUAUGAGACACCUUUGGAAUUUUAAAAUACAUAUAAACAUUAUGUUUAUUCACACAAAAUAUACAUCUAAAUAUCCAUGCAUUAACAUACAAUUAUAAGCCCAAACUAAAAUGAUAUCAUGUCUGCUAUAUUCUUGAUUUAACUUAAAAGUUGGCCGUGACAGUCUAGAAUUUCACACUGUUAAGAUAAGCAUAGAAUUUAUGACAUACCCAAGUACUUCAACUGACAAAGUAGAAAACUAAAUGGUAUCAUGCAUUCAAAUAAUUAAAAGAAGCUAACGAAGGUGCUUAUCUAAACUAAGCUCUAGGAGAGCACACAAGAGGGAAAAAAAGUUAUUUUGGAAGAAAUGAUGUUAUAAUUUGAGGAACAAUUUUCAAAAGAAAAUAAUAUAUCACCCUCAGCCUCUGGGAGAUGCAAAGAACUUCAGAAGGGUUAAUAUAAAUAUUUUCCUCACUGCAAAUUUUCCAUUGCUUUAAAAGACCUGUAAAACCAGUCACUUAGUAACAUUUAACUUGGUGCACCCCAUGCAAAUAACUGGAUAAGAUAAUACAGAGAACAAAAAUGCAAAAGAAAAAAAAUGCUUCUCAGACAAAGGACAUAUGUAUUAGAAAGGGAACAAGGAACACAGUGAUACAUGUAGCAUAAUGCAUCUUCUACCUAUGGCUCCCUGAACUAAGAAUUCCUCCUAGGGAGUGUGUGGAUGAGCAAUUGCUAUGAUUCCACUGAUGUCCUCUCUUUAAAAUAAAUAAAUAAAUAAAUAAAAUAGUGAAAACUUUCUAUCAGUGAAGUCCACCAUCCAGGUAGAUCAUAUCAUGCAUAUCCAUGUUGUGCAAAGUUGUUCAAAGGAAAACAAAGAGAUAAGCAACUCUAACCCUGUAAUCACUACCAAAGCAGUAAAUUUUUGUGAUUAGAGAAACUAAGACUGAGGGAAGCAUUUGUACACUGCAGAAAAUGCAAUCUUAAGUGUCUGGACUGUCCGUUGCCUGAGUAAGGUUUUCUUCAUUGCUGACAGAAUGAUAUACAUAGAUUUUUACAGAGCUAAUUGUUGGAAAACAAACGCUUUCCCCUGGUCAAGAUUGAUCACCUGUGAAAACGACAGUCAAUACCUUUGGGUUGUUCAACUCCACUUUAAAGUACUUAAAGGAAAAAAAAAAAAACAUUUCAAAAUGGCGAAUCAUUAUGCUUUCAAGUUCGUAUUACCAAACUUUUGGAUUCCCACUUUCAGAUUUUGAAAUUCACAGAAUAACCAACACAUAUCUCCCUGCAAAAAAUGAAUUCCAGAUACGUAUGUGUAAGCUUCUGAGGUUUAGUGGAUUAUUAUGUUGUCUUGCUUGAGACAACAAAGCUCAAUCCCUUAGAUUUCAUUAAUACACAUCUGACGCUUUCUAUAAAAUCAGUUUUGUUCAGACCUGAAUUGACUGAAGUAGACAAAUUGAACAACAGUAAUGUCAAACACUGCCAAACAGGACUGGGCUGGUUUAAAGACAGAGAAGUGUGACAUAGCUGACAAAACCCUGCUGUCUUCAAGCACAACUUAAACAUCUCCAAACCCUCAUUUCUAAUUAUCUAAAUUACUGGUUUGCACAGGCAAAAAUAGCAGGGAUGCCCAAAAAAGUACACACAUUUUAAGAGAUGUUAUCUAUAUUCCAGCAGUAGUUUGCCAUAUUCAGAAGUGUCUGGACUCUGAUGGUCACCACUUUGAGCACCUCUUUAAUUACAGAAGUCAAAUGUGACUUGUAUUCAUCUUUUGUUCUUGGUAUAUAUUGAGUAUUGCAAUUAAUACAGUUUUUUUUUUCCUUUCUUAAAAUGUGUAUACAUUUUUUUUGGUACUCUGUGUAUUUGAUGUUAAAGCAGAGUAAAAAUAAAGCUGGAAAGCAUGAGCAUAUCAAAGCCUGCUAGACAAGUCAUUAUUCAAAAGUUUUAUUACCCUAGAAGAGAUGGAGAUGAUGCUAGAAUAAGAGGACAUGUUAUAAAUACAGCUAUUUAUACUUUUUUGUGUCUUCAUGUCAUAAAUAACUGCAUGCUAAUU